AGCAGCGGCUGAGGCUUCUGCAGCCGAGGCAGAGGACCUGCCUGUCGCGGACGAGGAGCCCGGACUGGCUCGAGCUGGGGCGGACUGCUGGUGCCUGUGCUCUCGCUGUGCGCCUACGGACACACGGACGUCUGACUGUAAAACAAUAUCGCCUAACAGUCUUUCUGGAAUGGGUCCUGCAAGGCGAGAGAUUGGGUCAAGGCCAUCGUGUCGUUUUACCCGCUGAUGUGGUGCAGGCUAUCCGACAGAAAUAUCCAGCUCCAGAUGGCCAGUACUGCGGCACCGAGACGUUGAGGACGCUCAGGAGGAACUACAACUGUCAUUGUUAACAUAUUUAUUUUUGUUGUUGUUGAUAUAUUUCUGUAAAUAAAUGGUUUACAUUCA